AUUUUCGUUUUUGGGUGAAAUAACCCUUUAAUUAAAUUGAGGAAAUCCUUUUGCCUUGAGAAAAUUAAGUAACCACAACUUAUUGUAUAUGUGUACUUAAGAGCUCGCUUGUGACUGAUUUGAUAUAAUCUCAUUUUAUUAUUUCUUUUAAAGUCUUCACAAAAAUUGUAGGCUAAUACAGUUCUUAAAAAAUACAGAGUAGUAGAGUUUAUUCCUCUACUUCCAUAAACUGCACAAAAACUCUUCUCUGAGAAUAGAUAACAUUUUAAAUCAUCAAUCUGUAAUUACUUUAAAUUUCAAUAUGAGAAUUUAGGAAGUAGACUAGUAUGUUGUGGGAUUCGCGGUAGAUUCCCAAUACAGUGACUUGACUUUUAAAAGCAGGUGACUGGAUUGGUUAAUGUGUUCAUAUGAAGGUCUGUUAUGCUUUUUAAAAUUGUUAUGCCCUUAAACAUCAUAACAGUAAUCUUUGCGCAAAACGUUUGUCCAAAAGCAGAGUAAUGAGUCAGCUGUGCAAAGUGGCAGUGGACCUAUGUGUGUUUUGCAUAACUCCAAUGCUCCCUCUUCCCCAUUCCGAUCAAACCAUCACACGAUGGAUUACUGACUUUGUAUGAGAGGACGUUGAAGGAUAAAACAUGAAGGUAAAUAGCCACAGUAAUGGACUCGGCUAAAGAUGACAUGGGUAAUUUUCUCUCAUUCUCUAUCUUUCUUAUUGGCUUGUAAGGUAUUUUGGUAAUUAAUCAGUUUUUAAUCAACUGUCUCAGCCUUUCUUUAAUCUUGUCGGUUACUAUGGCAAAACUCUUUUAUUUGUGAAAGUGUGAAAGGAAAGUGAAAAGCCAUUGUGAUAUUUGAAUUGUUUAAGGUUAAUGUCUUUUACUUUUAUGAUUAAAUUUUAUCAGUUUUGCUGUCAAAGGUCCUAAUAAAAAAAGCCAUAAAGCAGAACUUAUUUUUUUAGUUAGUCAAUGUUACAGAUUCAAUAAAAGGAUUAUGAAAAAUUCCUCAAAUUAUUAUGAAAUUAGCGAGACCGCAUAGUAUAUUUACAACAAAAUAUCCUCUACAAUUCCACAUAGAGGAAUAAUACUGCAAUAAAAAUGUAUAUAUUCUGUUGAAAGAAUCACAUUCUCACUUUGGUCUUCAUCUUAGAUUGAUUAGUUCACCCAAAAAUGAUCUAUUCCCCCUUAUGUCAAUCUAAAAUCGUAUAACUUUCUAUCUUCUGUGGAACACAGAAGGGAAAAUUCUAAAGAAUCUUCUGGUAAAUCUAGUUGCAUGAGGACUGAAGUUUUUAAGCAUCAAAAAGGACACAAAAACAAAACAAAAAGAACUAUCGUUAAAGUGUUCCAUGUGAUUGCUCUCCUUUGCAAAUUCAUGAAAAAAAAAAAAAAAAAAGAUGUCCAAUUUGUGAGCAAAACUGUUGUUUUAAGUUGGAUAUUUUCAAUGAAAUGAUUACAAAGAUUGAUUUCUGAAGUUCUGCUCAAUGACUCAAUGAUCAGUCACAACGAUUAAUAGUUCACAUUUUGUCCAACAUUCAAACUAAAAUAUCUGUAUUCAUAAUAUCUUAUUUAUUGUUCUGUAGGAGAAAGUCAAAUGGGUUAUAAUUUUUAAUUACCCAUAUAAUAUUUUUGGUUUAUAUAUUUGGGUGAAGUAUUCCUUAAAUAUAUUUAAGUAUUUCUGCCUUAUUUAUGUCACAAUGAUAGUAGAUCAUGUUUGAGAAGUCCUCAAUGACAUGUUGCACUUUCUAUCCUUCAAACAACAAACAAAAACAUUUCUUAUCUCUCUGACCUUCUGUGCUUCUACUUUUUUCAAUCCUAUCCACUUUCUCUCUCUUUCUCUGUGUGUGUGUCUGUGGUUUCUGUCACUGUUAUCUUUGCUUAGGUCUGUCUGAAACCCAAGUGCUUCUAAUGACACAUCACCCAAGUGCUGUGCUCUGAUAAUGCCUAGCUCUCUCUCUCUCUCUCUCUUUCUUUGUGUGUGUGUGUGUUUGUGUGUACAUGCAUACAUUUGUGUGUGAAGGGGAACCCAGAGUGGUGGCUUCCCAGUUUAAUAGCGAUGUGGUUUAGGGUGGAUAUGAGAGAACUCGGAACGUAUUUUCCACCUUUUGUCAUGCAGAGUUGCAUGUAUUUGCAUCAGUGUGUUGUGUGAUAGUGUGCUGAGUUCAGCUGUACUGUUUCAUAUAUUAAAGUUUAUUUGCUGUAAUUUAGAACAACUGAUAUAUAUCAAAUGUGUAUGUGUGUGUGCAAUUCUCAUUAUUAACUAGCUGCUUAUUAGCAUGCAUAUUACUAGGAUAUUGUCUGUUUAUUAGUACUUAUAAAGCACAUAUUUAUGCCAUAUUCUGCAUGACCAUAUUCUACAUCCCAUAAUCCUACCCAAUACCUAAACUUAACAACUACCUUACUAACUAUUAAUAAGCUGUAAUUAGGAGUUUAUUGAGGCAAAAGUUGUAGUUAAUAGUGAGAAUUGGACCCUAAUCUAAAGUGUGACCUUAUAUAUAUAUAUAUAUAUAUAUAUAUAGAGUUUAUUUAAAGUUUAGAUAUUCUAUAACAUAUAAUAUUGUGUGUGUGUGUGUGUGUGUGUGUGUAUAUAUAUAUAUAUAUAUAUACAGUCAAACCAAAAUGUAUUCAGACACCUUGAAAAUUUCAUUCAUUAAUACAGUUUAUUCACUAUAGUUUAAAAAAACUGUAAUAAAAUAUGACAAGAUCUCAGAGUUAAACUGUGUCAGAAAAAAAUAUCUUAAUUAUGUCAGAUAACACUUAAGCAAAACAUGGUCAGGUCAAAGUGUCUGAAUAAUCUUUGGUCGCAAAUUUUUAUUAGUUUUACUGGUAGUCCACUGUAUGAAGAAUUUGUGUGUAUAAUAUGUCACAGUUUACUUUAUUUUGCUAUCCUCACUUACAUAAAUGAACUAUAGUGUCCUGAACCCACUAGUAAAAAUAUAUCAAAAAUAUCUGAAUAAUUUUUGGUUUGACUAAUAUAUAUAUUAAUGUGUUAAAUAUCAUUUUACUAACAUUUAAUUUCUGACAAUGUAUAUUUCAUAUAUAUAUAUAAUGUAAUUACCUUUACAAGAUAACUCUUCAUGAAUCGAUGUGCUAAAAAUGUCUUAAAUAAAAAGAAUCUUAUUUAAA